rnacentral:rRNA from 1 species
CAUUACUGAGUUUACGCUCUAUAACCCUUUGUGAACAUACCUAUAACUGUUGCUUCGGCGGGUAGGGUCUCCGCGACCCUCCCGGCCUCCCGCCUCCGGGCGGGUCGGCGCCCGCCGGAGGAUAACCAAACUCUGAUUUAACGACGUUUCUUCUGAGUGGUACAAGCAAAUAAUCAAAACUUUUAACAACGGAUCUCUUGGUUCUGGCAUCGAUGAAGAACGCAGCGAAAUGCGAUAAGUAAUGUGAAUUGCAGAAUUCAGUGAAUCAUCGAAUCUUUGAACGCACAUUGCGCCCGCCAGCAUUCUGGCGGGCAUGCCUGUUCGAGCGUCAUUUCAACCCUCAAGCUCUGCUUGGUGUUGGGGCCCUACAGCUGAUGUAGGCCCUCAAAGGUAGUGGCGGACCCUCCCGGAGCCUCCUUUGCGUAGUAACUUUACGUCUCGCACUGGGAUCCGGAGGGACUCUUGCCGUAAAACCCCCCAAUUUUCCAAAGGUUGACCUCGGAUCAGGUAGGAAUACCCGCUGAACUUAAGCAUAUCAAUAAGCGGAGGAAAAGAAACCAACAGGGAUUGCCUCAGUAACGGCGAGUGAAGCGGCAACAGCUCAAAUUUGAAAUCUGGCCCUAGGCCCGAGUUGUAAUUUGCAGAGGAUGCUUUUGGUGCGGUGCCUUCCAAGUUCCCUAGAACGGGACGCCAGAGAGGGUGAGAGCCCCGUACAGUUGGACACCAAGCCUUUGUAAAGCUCCUUCGACGAGUCGAGUAGUUUGGGAAUGCUGCUCAAAAUGGGA